AUUGAACGCUGGCGGCAGGCCUAACACGUGCAAGUCGAGCGGAUGAAGGGAGCUUGCUCCUGGAUUCAGCGGCGGACGGGUGAGUAAUGCCUAGGAAUCUGCCUGGUAGUGGGGGAUAACGUCCGGAAACGGGCGCUAAUACCGCAUACGUCCUGAGGGAGAAAGUGGGGGAUCUUCGGACCUCACGCUAUCAGAUGAGCCUAGGUCGGAUUAGCUAGUUGGUGGGGUAAAGGCCUACCAAGGCGACGAUCCGUAACUGGUCUGAGAGGAUGAUCAGUCACACUGGAACUGAGACACGGUCCAGACUCCUACGGGAGGCAGCAGUGGGGAAUAUUGGGCAAUGGGCGAAAGCCUGAUCCAGCCAUGCCGCGUGUGUGAAGAAGGUCUUCGGAUUGUAAAGCACUUUAAGUUGGGAGGAAGGGCAGUAAGUUAAUACCUUGCUGUUUUGACGUUACCAACAGAAUAAGCACCGGCUAACUUCGUG
rnacentral:rRNA from 1 species